rnacentral:rRNA from 1 species
AGUGAACGCUGGCGGCAUGCUUUACACAUGCAAGUCGAACGGCAGCGCGGGCUUCGGCCUGGCGGAGAGUGGCGAACUGGCGGGUAAUAGAUCGGAACGUGCCCAGCUACUUGUGCGAGGGCGGCGAAAGCCGGAAAAAUACGCUAAUACACCAUAGGAUGUACGCGGGGGAUCAUCGGACCUUGCGCCAUUGGACGGGCCAAUGGCAGGAUGGCUGAUUAGCUAGUUGGAGGGGUAAAGGCCUACCAAGGCGACGAUCCGUAGCUGGUCUGAGAGGAUGACCAGCCACACUGGGACUGAGACACGGCCCAGACUCCUACGGGAGGCAGCAGUGGGGAAUUUUGGACAAUGGGCGAAAGCCUGAUCCAGCAAUGCCGCGUGUGUGAUGAAGGCCUUCGGGUUGUAAAGCACUUUUGUCGGGAAAGAAAAGCACUAGGCUAAUACCACGCUGUGAUGACGGUACCCAAAGAAUAAGCACCGGCUAACUACGUG